rnacentral:rRNA from 1 species
CAUCCUUUGAUCCGUGGAUGUCUGAAUGGGGAAACCCGCCGGGAGUAAUGUUCCGGCAUCUCCACAUGAAAAGAUAGUGUGGAAGAAGCUGACCCAGGGAAGUGAAACAUCUCAGUACCUGGAGGAAAGGAAAUCAAACGAGACUCCCAAAGUAGCGGCGAGCGAAAUGGAAAGAGGCCAAACCGGAGUGCGUGCACUCCGGGGUUCGGACCGCAUUUAAGAUCUGAUGAUCCUAGCAGAAAGGUUUUGGGAAAGCCUGCCGUAGAGGGUGAAAGCCCC